ACGGCGAGUGAGCGGGAAGAGCUCAAAUUUGAAAUCUUCAAGGUUCUACCUUGACGAAUUGUAGUUUAAAGAAGUGUUUUCUGUUGGAGUUUUGGUAAAAGUUCUUUGGAAUAGGACAUCAUAGAGGGUGAGAAUCCCGUAUUUGACCAUUAUUUCCAACUUUGUGAUACACUUUCAAAGAGUCGGAUUGUUUGGGAAUGCAGUCCAAAAUGGGUGGUAAAUUUCAUCUAAAGCUAAAUACUGGCGAGAGACCGAUAGCGAACAAGUACCGUGAGGGAAAGAUGAAAAGAACUUUGAAAAGAGAGUUAAACAGUACGUGAAAUUGUCAAAAGGGAAGCGUUUGACACCAGUGUUGUUUUCUCGAAAAUCAAUUAAAAAUGGUGGGAUUUUGUGUUGUAUUGACUUUAUCAGCUUUCUGCACUUUUUUCCUGUCUUUUUUAAUGCACUUUUCGUUUAACAAGUCAACAUCAAUUUCUUUUGUUGUAAAAGGGUCAUUGGAAGGUGGCUUUCUUUUCGGAGAAAGUGUUUAUAGCCUUUGGCCUCUGCAAUCGGAGAGAUUGAGGUCUGCAGCGUAGAUCCUUCGGGGUUAGAUACAUUUGUGCUAAGCUAUAGCCUUUCAUAGACAACUUGUUGACUAUGAUCAGUCAUGUAGCUUACUCGCUUAUGCUAUUUUACCUACGCUUAGGAUGUUGACAAAAUGGUUUUAAACGACCCGUCUUGA
rnacentral:rRNA from 1 species